GACAGAGGUGCCGAGCGUUAGGCGGAAUCACUGGGCUUAAAGCGUGUGUAGGCGGGUGGGCAAGUACCUUGUGAAAUCCCACGGCUCAACCGUGGAACUGCUGGGUAUACUGCCUGUCUUGAGCCAGCUAGGGGCGAGCGGAACAGACGGUGGAGCGGUGAAAUGCGUAGAUAUCGUCUGGAACGCCGAAGGUGAAAACAGCUCGCUGGGGCUGUGCUGACGCUGAGACACGAAAGCCAGGGGAGCGAACGGG
rnacentral:rRNA from 1 species